GUCUAUGGCCAUGCUACCCUGAACAAGCCCAAUCUGUCUGAUCUCAGAAGCUAAGCAGGGUGGGGCCUGGUUAGUACUUGGAUAGGAGGCCACCUAGGAAGACCAGGUGCCGUAGGUG
rnacentral:rRNA from 2 species